rnacentral:misc_RNA from 1 species
CAAUGAAUUUGUGGAGACGUAAAUCUAGCAUCUCUGCGAGCAUUGUAUUCCUACCUAAAGGAGAAACUGAUUCCAUGGCUUAGUCCUGCUCAUUUGGAGCUUCACAACAUUACAUGGGAUGGUCCUGCAUCUUUGUUGGAAAAAAUUGUUGCGUAUGAGGCUGUGCAUCCAAUAAGCAAUCUUAUAGAUCUGAAAAAAGGCUAGGAAUAGGUCGCCGCUGCUUUGAGUACUUCUAUCCAGCAAUACCUGGUGAAUCACUUAUUUUUAUUGAAGUUGCACUUGUGAAGGAUGUGGCAGCAUCCAUACAGCCUGGCUUAUCAGGAGUCAACCUAGGGAAG